GAAAGCCUGACGGAGCAAUACCGCGUGAGGGAGGAAGGCUCUUGGGUCGUAAACCUCUUUUAUCAGGGAAGAAACAAAUGACGGUACCUGAUGAAUCAGCAUCGGCUAACUCCGUGCCAGCAGCCGCGGUAAUACGGAGGAUGCAAGCGUUAUCCGGAAUUAUUGGGCGUAAAGCGUCCGCAGGUGGUUUUGAAAGUUUGCUGUCAAAGCGCGGAGCUUAACUUCGUACCGGCAGUGAAAACUACGAGACUAGAGUUUGGUAGGGGUCACGGGAAUUCCCAGUGUAGCGGUGAAAUGCGUAGAGAUUGGGAAGAACACCAGCGGCGAAA
rnacentral:rRNA from 1 species